GCAAGGAAUAUUGUGCAAUGGGCGAAAGCCUGACACAGCGACGCCGCGUGAGGGAUGAAGACCUUCGGGUUGUAAACCUCUUUUGCCAGGGAAGAAUAAUGACGGUACCUGGCGAAUAAGCUUCGGCGAACUACGUGCCAGCAGCCGCGGUAAUACGUAGGAAGCGAGCGUUAUCCGGAUUUAUUGGGCGUAAGGAGGGUGUAGGCGGCUCUUCAAGUCAACUGUAAAAUCUCUCGGCUUAACUGAGAGGGAACAGUUGAUACUGUUGGGCUCGAGUGCAGUAGAGGAAAGCGGAAUUCCCGGUGUAGUGGUGAAAUGCGUAGAUAUCGGGAGGAACACCAGUGGCGAAGGCGGCUUUCUGGGCUGCUACUGACGCUGAGGCCCGAAAGCGUGGGGAGCGAACAGGAUUAGAUACCCCAGUAGUCC
rnacentral:rRNA from 1 species